UACGGGGGGGCAAGCGUUGUUCGGAAUUACUGGGCGUAAAGGCUGGUAGGCGGCCAACUAAGUCGGAUGUGAAAUCCCCAGGCUUAACCUGGGAACUGCAUCCGAUACUGGUCGGCUUGAAUCCGGGAGAGGGAUGCAGAAUUCCAGGUGUAGCGGUGAAAUGCGUAGAUAUCUGGAGGAAUACCGGUGGCGAAGGCGGCAUCCUGGACCGGCAUUGACGCUGAACAGCGAAAGCUAGGGGAGCAAACGGG
rnacentral:rRNA from 1 species